rnacentral:rRNA from 1 species
GACGAACCGUGCGAACGUUGUUCGGAAUCACUGGGCUUAAAGGGCGCGUAGGCGGGCGGUCAAGUCUGUGGUGAAAUCCUCCGGCUCAACCGGAGAAUAGCUGGAGAUACUGACCGUCUCGAGGGGGGUAGGGGCAUGUGGAACUUCCGGUGGAGCGGUGAAAUGCGUAGAUAUCGGAAGGAACGCCGGUGGCGAAAGCGACGUGCUGGACCAUUUCUGACGCUGAGGCGCGAAAGCCAGGGGAGCAAACGGG